rnacentral:rRNA from 1 species
GACGAACGCUGGCGGCGUGCUUAACACAUGCAAGUCGAACGGAAAGGCCCUGCCUUUGUGGGGUGCUCGAGUGGCGAACGGGUGAGUAACACGUGAGUAACCUGCCCCUGACUUUGGGAUAACCUCUGGAAACUGCGGCUAAUACCGGAUAGGAGCUCCUGCUGCAUGGUGGGCGUUGGAAAGUUUCGGCGGUUGGGGAUGGACUCGCGGCUUAUCAGCUUGUUGGUGGGGUAGUGGCUUACCAAGGCUUUGACGGGUAGCCGGCCUGAGAGGGUGACCGGCCACAUUGGGACUGAGAUACGGCCCAGACUCCUACGGGAGGCAGCAGUGGGGAAUAUUGCACAAUGGGCGGAAGCCUGAUGCAGCAACGCCGCGUGCGGGAUGACGGCCUUCGGGUUGUAAACCGCUUUCGCCUGUGACGAAGCGUGAGUGACGGUAAUGGGUAAAGAAGCACCGGCUAACUACGUG